GCAGGUGCAGCACUUCCGCGGUUGCAGGGAAAUCUGCUGGGUGAGGUGGGGCUGGAGGGGAGUGUGGAGCAGACAAGGGAGUCACAGAGAGAGUUGUCCCUCCGGAAAGCAGGUAAGGGUGGUGAGGGAGAGAUGUCUUUGGUGGUGGGGUCAGAUUGCAGAUGGCGGAAAUAUCGGAGGAUGAUGUGUUGGAUCCGGAGGUUGGUGGGGUGGUACGUGAGGACGAGGGGGAUUCUGUUUUGAUUGUUAUUGCGUGGAGAGGGUGUGAGGGAUGAGUUGCGGGAAAUGCGGGAGACACGGUCGAGGGCGUUCUCGACCACUGACAGGGGGAGGUUGCGGUCCUUGCAAAACAAGGACAUCUGAGAUGUACGGGAGUGGAAUGCCUCAUCCUGGGAGCAGAUGCAGUGGAGGCGAAGGAAUUGGGAAUAGGGGGUGGCUGUCCAUUCGUUUUACAACCCAUUCAAUGGGAAGGAUUUCCAGAUCUUCAGUCCCAACUAGAAAAUCACAGCAAAGUCUACCAGAGUCACCCUUUUUAGCAGCAUUGCAGUGUCAUCAGUCUUUCGCCGUGCAUUCAAGAAUGCGGACAUCGCUGGCUAAGCCAAAAUAUAUCGUCCAUCUAUGAUUGCUAAGAGGGCUGUCAAGAGUCAACUGCAUUGCUGUUGGGUUAGAAUCACAUGUAGGCCAGAGGAGAAAGUUCAAAUUAAACAUGACAUCAAGAGCUGCCAGCAAUGCUUGAUUCUCAGGAGCUGAAUAUCACCAGCCUUUGAACAUGGAAGGAAAAAGCAUCAUUCACAGUGAAGAGAAACCAUACACAUGUGUUACACUGAAUGUUCCCAUUGGUGUGAGCCCGGAGUCUCAUGCGGGCUCUGCUGGAACUAAAAUGUGUCUGAUGGUGAAAACAUUGAGCAGCAGAAUAAGAAGAAAUGGAAGAGCUGGAGUUAUAAUGUGGUGGAGGAACUCGAUUGUGGUCCAGACACGGGAGUAAAGAACUUUAAUUGUUACAAAACAAAAUCAGGGAGAGUUCUCCAGCAAAUACUGACCUGAGAGCAUAAAAUACCAGAAAAUAUUCUUUAAAAAACUCAGCGCAAUCACUGUUCCCAGAACCACAGCUGCCGUUUUCUCACUGCAAUAUUUACUUUGCAGCUUCUGGCAACAAAUGGCCACAAAUCGAUCGAAGGUGAAAGUGACAGUGAACCAGACAGAACAGUCAGUGGCUGCAUAAACAAGGAUGGCCUGGAUAUUACACACGGGGAUGGAAUCUAGGAAAUAACACUGUUCCUUACAGACAAUCGGAAUGUGUCUCAAUAUCAGAUCGAGGAUAAUGACCACUGGAUCAGCCACUGCCAUGGCCGCCAAGUAAAGUCUGACACAUGGAGACAAUCCACAAUCUUUAUGGAGCAGGACGAAGAUCGUCACCAUGUUAACUGUGAGGAAGGUAAACAAACAAAUUGUGCAUCAGCUUGGAGGCAAAGUAACCAAUUUGAUUGAAGAUGAAGUGAGAUUUUCAAAUGUUUGACUGUUUUCAGAGAUUUACUGAAAUAAAUGGAGCUGAAAUAACAAAUGGGAAGUUUUGAAUUAUGAGCAAAAAUGCGACGUAAA